rnacentral:rRNA from 1 species
GACGAACGCUGGCGGCGUGCUUAACACAUGCAAGUCGAGCGAUGAAAUUCCUUCGGGAAUGGAUUAGCGGCGGACGGGUGAGUAACACGUGGGUAACCUGCCUCAUAGAGGGGAAUAGCCUUCCGAAAGGAAGAUUAAUACCGCAUAAGAUUGUAAUACCGCAUGGUAUAGCAAUUCACGGAGUAAUCCGCUAUGAGAUGGACCCGCGUCGCAUUAGCUAGUUGGUGAGGUAACUGCUCACCAAGGCGACGAUGCGUAGCCGACCUGAGAGGGUGAUCGGCCACAUUGUGACUGAGACACGGCCCAGACUCCUACGGGAGGCAGCAGUGGGGAAUAUUACACAAUGGGGGAAAACUUGAUGCAGCAACGCCGCGUGAGUGAUGACGGUCUUCGGAUUGUAGAACUCUGUCUUCAGGGACGGUAAUGACGGUACCUGAGGAGGAAGCCACGGCUAACUACGUGCCAGCAGCCGCAGUAA